rnacentral:rRNA from 1 species
AGUGAACGCUGGCGGUAGGCCUAACACAUGCAAGUCGAACGGCAGCACAGUAAGAGCUUGCUCUUACGGGUGGCGAGUGGCGGACGGGUGAGGAAUACAUCGGAAUCUACUUUUUCGUGGGGAUAACGUAGGGAAACUUACGCUAAUACCGCAUACGACCUACGGGUGAAAGCAGGGGAUCUUCGGACCUUGCGCGAUUGAAUGAGCCGAUGUCGGAUUAGCUAGUUGGCGGGGUAAAGGCCCACCAAGGCGACGAUCCGUAGCUGGUCUGAGAGGAUGAUCAGCCACACUGGAACUGAGACACGGUCCAGACGCCUACGGGAGGCAGCAGUGGGGAAUAUUGGACAAUGGGCGCAAGCCUGAUCCAGCCAUACCGCGUGGGUGAAGAAGGCCUUCGGGUUGUAAAGCCCUUUUGUUGGGAAAGAAAAGCAGCAGGUUAAUACCCCGCUGUUCUGACGGUACCCAAAGAAUAAGCACCGGCUAACUUCGU